AAUAGAUACCCAGGUAGUCCACGCCGUAAACGAUGAGUGCUAAGUGUUAGGGGGUUUCCGCCCCUUAGUGCUGCAGCUAACGCAUUAAGCACUCCGCCUGGGGAGUACGGUCGCAAGACUGAAACUCAAAGGAAUUGACGGGGGCCCGCACAAGCGGUGGAGCAUGUGGUUUAAUUCGAAGCAACGCGAAGAACCUUACCAGGUCUUGACAUCCCAUUGACCACUAUGGAGACAUAGUUUUCCCUUCGGGGACAACGGUGACAGGUGGUGCAUGGUUGUCGUCAGCUCGUGUCGUGAGAUGUUGGGUUAAGUCCCGCAACGAGCGCAACCCUUGUUCUUAGUUGCCAUCAUUUAGUUGGGCACUCUAAGGAGACUGCCGGUGACAAACCGGAGGAAGGUGGGGAUGACGUCAAAUCAUCAUGCCCCUUAUGACCUGGGCUACACACGUGCUACAAUGGACGGUACAAACGGUUGCCAACCCGCGAGGGGGAGCUAAUCCGAUAAAACCGUUCUCAGUUCGAAUUGUAGGCUGCAACUCGCCUACA
rnacentral:rRNA from 1 species